AGAGUUUGAUCCUGGCUCAGGAUGAACGCUGGCGGCGUGCUUAACACAUGCAAGUCGAACGAAGCGCUUAGGACGGAUUACUUCGGUUUGAAGUUCUAUUUGACUGAGUGGCGGACGGGUGAGUAACGCGUGGGUAACCUGCCUCAUACAGGGGGAUAACAGUUAGAAAUGACUGCUAAUACCGCAUAAGCGCACAGGACCGCAUGGUCCGGUGUGAAAAACUCCGGUGGUAUGAGAUGGACCCGCGUCUGAUUAGCUGGUUGGUGAGGUAACGGCCCACCAAGGCGACGAUCAGUAGCCGGCCUGAGAGGGUGAACGGCCACAUUGGGACUGAGACACGGCCCAAACUCCUACGGGAGGCAGCAGUGGGGAAUAUUGCACAAUGGGGGAAACCCUGAUGCAGCGACGCCGCGUGAAGGAAGAAGUAUUUCGGUAUGUAAACUCCUAUCAGCAGGGAAGAAAAUGACGGUACCUGACUAAGAAGCCCCGGCUAACUACGUGCCAGCAGCCGCGGUAAUACGUAGGGGGCAAGCGUUAUCCGGAUUUACUGGGUGUAAAGGGAGCGUAGGCGGUUUAGCAAGUCAGAAGUGAAAGCCCGGGGCUCAACUCCGGGACUGCUUUUGAAACUGUUGAACUAGAUUGCAGGAGAGGUAAGUGGAAUUCCUAGUGUAGCGGUGAAAUGCUAAGAUAUUAGGAGGAAACACCAGGGGCGAAGGCGGCUUACUGGAAUGGUAAUGAACCCUGAAGCUCCAAAAGCGUGGGGNGCCCCCUGAAGGGGAUCCCCUGUCAGUCCCCGCUGUAAACCAUGAAUAUUAGGUGUCAGGGAGCAAAGCUCUUUGGUGCCGGCAGCAAACGCAAUAAGUAUUCCACCUGGGGAGUACGUUCGCAAGAAUGAAACUCAAAGGAAUUGACGGGGACCCGCACAAGCGGUGGAGCAUGUGGUUUAAUUCGAAGCAACGCGAAGAACCUUACCAAGUCUUGACAUCCCGGUGACCAGAGGGUAAUGCCUCUUUCUCUUCGGAGCACUGGAGACAGGUGGUGCAUGGUUGUCGUCAGCUCGUGUCGUGAGAUGUUGGGUUAAGUCCCGCAACGAGCGCAACCCUUAUCUUUAGUAGCCAGCGAGUAAAGUCGGGCACUCUAGAGAGACUGCCAGGGAUAACCUGGAGGAAGGUGGGGAUGACGUCAAAUCAUCAUGCCCCUUAUGAUUUGGGCUACACACGUGCUACAAUGGCGUAAACAAAGGGAAGCGAGCGUGUGAAUGUAAGCAAAUCUCAAAAAUAACGUCUCAGUUCGGAUUGUAGUCUGCAACUCGACUACAUGAAGCUGGAAUCGCUAGUAAUCGCGAAUCAGCAUGUCGCGGUGAAUACGUUCCCGGGUCUUGCACACACCGCCCGUCA
rnacentral:rRNA from 1 species